rnacentral:tRNA from 1 species
GGGGAUGUGGCUCAAGUGGUAGAGUGCUCGCCUGGCAUGCGUGAGGCACUGGGUUCGAUUCUCAGCACCA